rnacentral:lncRNA from 1 species
UCUAUUUAGUAUAUUUAUAGGAUCAUGAGUGAUUUGGAGAUAAAUGAUGAUUUUGGAGCAUUUUAGAGAUUUUUGGAGUAAGCACCCGAGAUGACCAUCGGUCGAUAUUGAAACGGAAUAAUCGAUCGAUGUUAACGUCUUGACAUCGAUCUAAAGCGAAGCCCAAAUCUUCACCAAGCUACUUGUUUUCUAUGUUGUCUGUCAAAAUUCAAAAUUGGUAAUAAUAUUUAACAUUUUACCAAAAAAGAAGAAGUUUGAGUUGUAAAAUACCAGUUUGGCAAUCUACCGUUAAACACAAUAUCUCCUUCUCUCUCCUCCCUCUGGUUUCUCCGCCUUCUCUCCUCCUAUUUGCAGUCUGAGUUUCUCCGAUGACCGGUGCGUGGCGGUUUCGUUAACGCCAGCGCCGGUCCCAAUCUGCUUAGUUUUCCUUCUAGUUUAACAUAUGUUCGGCGUGUAAUGACUGGAAUCUAUAUUGAUGGAGAUUUUGGUUGGAAAAGCUUGGCUUUCUUUCUCAGAUCUAUGUUAGAUUUCUGAAGUGAAAAUACCUGAUCGUUAGAUUAAUGGUUUGUUUUUUCAUUCCUUUCUCUAUCUUGUUACUGGUGGGAUUUUGGGUGGGCUUGUUCACUUUUUUGGAAGCUGCUGUGGAUUCUUUCCGGUUCUGUAGUGAGCCAGUCAUGUGGGAUUGGUGUCUCUGAGUUUGUUUAGGCUUGGCUCCUUGUUUCUCUGUCAGAUUCAGGUGUGAUCUGGUUUCUUCAAAAGCUCCAUCACUAGGCAUUCAACGGCCGUGCUUGCUCUGCCGUUUCCGAGAGUGUGUGAUGAAUCUGUUGAUUCCAACUUGUCGAAAGGUGGAGUUUGGUUAUUUGGUCAUGAGGUAUUCCCUCGUUGUUCAAGGAGGAAGUGACUUAUUGGUUGUUUGGCUGUGGGCAAUCUCUAUAAAUAUCUUUCAUGGAGUUCUGAAUCUGUUGUUUCAUGUUCGUUUGGAGUCUUCGCCGGUGAAUUUUGUUUUCAGUUGUCUUUAUCUUUUUUUUUUACUGUUAUGUGUUUGUGUUUGUUGGGAUCCCUUGUAUAGGCUUAGUUUCCAGGGUCGGUUCUGUGUGAUCGCUGGCUUGUGUACCAGAUGUAAUCUUUUCGUUGUAAGAACACUAUCUUGUAAUCCUUUGUGUUUUUUUUUUAUUAAUAAAAUCAGGUGAAAAAGGGUUGUAAAAUAUAAAGUAUUAACUAGAUUUUCACCGGAAUAUUUUUUUGGUAAAUUUUUUAUAUAAACG